AUCCCUGUGUGCCUGAGGCCUUCUGAAGCCUGGUGAUCCUACGCUCCUGCCUGAAAUGACGCUGGUGCUUGUAGGAGGUGUUUUUCCCUGGACUGUGAGACUAGUGAGAUGCUGAAGCUGAACACGGAGCAGAUUUGCGGCUGAUUGCCCUGAUUGGAGCCUGGGAUGCGCUGUGUCCAAGCCAAGCAUCUGAGGGGUGCCAGCUCCAUUGCUGCCAGGGCUGGGAAAAGCACGGCCGUGCGUGGGGCUCCCUGUGGCCUCCUCAGUGGGACAGCCUUUCACUGCUGACACGUGUCUCAGAGAUAAAACAUCAUAACUUUACAGCACACACACAAACAUCUAUGGAAAUGAAAAUACUCUUUUGCUCCAAUCCUCUGGACAAUUCCAGUCUUCACAGAUCUGGGUGGUAGCAUCUCUUCUUGCCUGCCUUCCUUCUGAAAACAUAGAAAUCCCACUAAGGUGCUGUCACAGCAUUCAGACAUCAGCAUGAAGCUUGGGCAGCCUCAUCCAUAAGCUGUGGGCUCCUCAUGGGUGCUGCUGGCUAGGGGGGGAGGUUUCCCUCUUUUUGGGGCUGAUGGGAAGAGCAACUGAUGCUUGCAGUGGAAUUGGAAGAAAAUCAUGGUCCUGUGCACACAGGGGAUGGCCAGCUCUGUCACUAGAAACAUAAUCCCUCUUUUGGAACAAUGCUUCUGACAAGUGAAGUCAUCUUCAUUAUUAGUUUGGAUCAUGACAGAAGAAUAAACUUUCCAGAAGAUACUGCUUGUCCUUCACUUAUGUAAGUUAGGGAGGACUCUGGGCUCCCACUGAACAUUAAAAAUCUCCUCUUCUCUGUACUUUUCCAGCUUGUUUGAUAGAGGUAUUUUGGUAGAUUUAAUAAUAAUAAUAAAACUUUUAUUAAAAAAAGAAAAUCUUAAUUACACAAAUGCUUGGUGUGGACAGGAAGGCUCAUGUCAAAAGGUUUAAGCUUUGGGUUCAAUUUGGAUGAAUGCCUGAAAUUUAGUUCUGAACUAGUGGCAGCCUUUGAAUUUAUAAAUAUUAAUAUCCACCUGAGAUUCCAGUCCGAAGAAAAAGCAAGACUU
ensembl:lncRNA